GAAGACGCUGCCUUGCAUGUGAAGCCAAAUCGUUCUUCGCCUUCAGGAUUCUUGCCGUUUCAGGGAUCUGCACAACGACAGGGAGAUAGAACGCCAAGAGAAGUCGACUGUAUGCUUUGUGCAGACGGUUCAGCGUGUAUGACGCAGCGGCCUCCAGCAAGAGAAACUCAAGCACCGUGUUCAAAUGCGGUGGGGACUCUUGCUCGACAUGACAACGCUUAGAAGUGCUUUUUCGGAAGAAGGACAAGUUGGACCGGAAAUGAGGACCUAGGUGUGCUCUUUUGCGUUGUUGUUCACCGUUCGAUCAUUACCAAUUUUCGUGCCCCCGUGAGUUCAACGCUCAGGUAUGUUGAUGAUAACUGGAUAUGCGUUAAAAGGUGCGUACUCCGGAGUGGUGAAUUGUUGU